rnacentral:rRNA from 1 species
AUCCCGGAGGCAGGAAAGGCUUCGGCCGGACAGGGAUGGGCAUGCGGCGCAUUAGGCAGUAGGCGGGGUAACGGCCCACCUAACCGACGAUGCGUAGGGGUUCUGAGAGGAAGGUCCCCCACACUGGUACUGAGACACGGACCAGACUCCUACGGGAGGCAGCAGUGAGGAAUAUUGGUCAAUGGUCGGGAGACUGAACCAGCCAAGCCGCGUGAGGGAUGAAGGUACAGAGUAUCGUAAACCUCUUUUGUCAGGGAACAAAGGCGGGGACGUGUCCCCGGAUGAGUGUACCUGAAGAAGAAGCAUCGGCUAACUCCGUGCCAGCAGCCGCGGUAAUACGGAGGAUGCGAGCGUUAUCCGGAUUUAUUGGGUUUAAAGGGUGCGCAGGCGGUCUGUUAAGUCAGCGGUCAAAGCCCGGGGCUCAACCCCGGCCCGCCGUUGAAACUGGCAGUCUCGAGUUGGAGAGAAGUAUGCGGAAUGCGCGGUGUAGCGGUGAAAUGCAUAGAUAUCGCGCAGAACUCCGAUUGCGAAGGCAGCAUGCCGGCUCCACACUGACGCUGAGGCACGAAAGCGUGGGUAUCGAACAGGAUUAGAUACCCUGGUAGUCCACGCAGUAAACGAUGAAUGCUGGCUGUCCGGGGGGGAUUGACCCCUGGGUGGCGAAGC